UAUAAAUUAUAUGUUUAUAAAUUAUAUAGUGAUAAGAAUGGAGUAUUCACUAUACUAGUAUAUUCCAAUCAAGAUGAUCAAAGUAUAGACUUACACAUCAAGUGACGUCAAAAUAUUGAAGGUUGAAGGAACCUGCUGGCACAAUAUACAUAUAUAAAGUGACGUAAGCAAAAGAUUUCUUUAAACAACGGGAGAAGGAGUAUGAAUAUACUCAAAAGAGAAUCUAACGUUGACCUUCCAUGUAAAGAUUCACAUGUUCUUUUCGGUAAAAACGCAACUCGGAAAAAAAUACAACUUAAUGGCUGUUUUAUACAUAUACAUAAAUAUCUGAAAUUAUUCUUGAGAUGUUAAUUAGACAGAAAAACAGUGUUAAAAAACGGGCAAAGUGGCAGAAAUACGUGAAACGUAUUAAAAUAAAGCUAUAUGGACCGAAUGCAGUCAAGCAAUAAUAAUCACCGCAUUAUAUUCAUUCGUUCACCGGAUAGAGCAUAUCCGGUCCUUGAAUAAUGCUUGUGGUCAAAGAUACUAUACUAAGCAACUUUCAAAAGGAAAAAUAGAAAAUGAUUAUGAAACAAAGUGUGCUUACCAUCACCCCAUGGGAAAGGCUAGGAU